rnacentral:lncRNA from 1 species
AGAUAAUUCAAGUCCGGGCACCCCCUAGGACGUCAGUUUUAGGAUAUAUAUCUAGAACUGAACUAGCUUGUCCAUGCCAGCGAGCACACUAUCAACUGCCUCAUCAAGACAAACUGAGGGCAUGGAUCGCAAGCAUGAUGAGGAAUUCUGUACACUAGUGGACAAAACGAGUGAUGCAGGGGUGUUUGUCCCCUCUUGCUCCACAUGUGCCCUGCCUGCUACUGCAGUCUAUCAGCAACCUCAAACCCAAUUUCUUGAUGCAUCCCAAUCCUACUGGUGACUUCCACGGAGAACUUGUAACCCUCAUAAAACAGAAUGUUGAAGACAAAAUGAUAUAAAGAAGUUCCUGUUGGUGGUGUGGUAUUAUUUAUUGUACCCAACUAUACAAUUGGUGUCUUUUUGCAACAGACUUAAUAAAGUUUCUUUAAUCACAAUGACAUAAAGGUAUCCAUCUAUUACCCAUUCGUUAACAAUUAAUUGUGCAACCAUAUAUAUGGAGCAAUGUGCCCUACCUAAACACAAGAGUUGUAAGUUGCAAAGGGACAUAUAUAGAGUAUUUUUUUCCACGUCAUCUCAGAAUAACAUGACGUGUAAUAGUAUCUCUACAUGACUCACAAGUGGAUACUACUACAUGUACAUAUCUAUGAUAUCACAGAACGAGCAAGAACGAUUGUGUGUAUUCUGCAGGCUGCGGUGUCCGUGGGCAUGGCAGGUGGAGCAGCAAAGCUUCAGCCACCUUGCUGCAAUCUACUAGCAAUUGAUUAGCUAUCACCUUGCCGCAGCAGCAUGGAUGUUGGGCUAGGCAAAGGCUUUCUGUGUUUCUCCCACUGUGGCCGGUCCCCUGCAGCUAGCCCAUGCAACAGCAUGCAGCAGUCCAAUUUCAUGAUGCAUAAUUUAACUGCAGCCAAGAACUUGUGGCCCUCAGAAAAUUUAAAGUUUGGUAAACAAAACAAUAAGGAAACUCCUGGUCGUAGUGUUAAUUAUAGCCCCAUAUAUCUAUAUUUGUUUGGGCGCCGACUAGGACGUCAAUUUCAUGUAGUCGAGAACCUGAUCUUGGUACUCCAAGCCAGGGCGCACGUACACCAUUAACUGCUUCAUCAAGAACUUGGAUAGGAAGGAUUGCAAGUAUGCUAUGGAUAUUAGUAAACUGGAGGAAAAGUUGAGAGACGUGGGGGGUGUUUGGCCUCCCUUGCUCCCCAUUUUAUCUGUCUUUAGUACUUAAGUCCCUCAGCAACGCGAACCCUAUUUCUUGAUGCCACGGAAUCAUACUUGUGACCUUCAUCGAGAACUUUUGACCCUGAGAAAAUUGAAUGUUAGAAAAAAUUAAAAAUAUAAGUAAAUCCUUGUUGCUGGUGUUUUAUUUAAAGUCCCGGCUCCAUCUAUACUUCGUUCUUUGUUAAUCACAAUGAUAUAAUGAUAUCCACAUCUAGUACUUUUAUUUUGUUGUCUGUCUCUAAAUUGUCACAUAGAAAAACAAUUUGUAACUUUUUCAUAUGACCUUAGAUGAAGACGCAUAUUAUUUUGAGUUCAUUGAUUUUGAAAUUUAAAAUUUUCAAACAGCUAAGGAUGUUCACAUGGUCUAUACUAAAUUUAUUGUUCUCAAUAUAAUCUACAAAUUUGUAGUUGAAUUUUUUUUAUUUGAGGUCUUCAGAUUCCCAAAUAUGUGCUACAAGUUCAUAGGUUCUGAAAUUCAAAAUUUCGAGUUUCUAAAUGAUCUAGAAUGUUCACUCUGUUCAUAUCAAAGUUUUUUUUCUUUUAGUAAGGUUUUUAUUUGAAGUUAUUUAGUCUCUCGAAUUUUGUUUUAAGUUCACAUAUUUUGAGGUUCAAAAUCUUGAAUAUUUCAAACAAUCUCGGAUGG